rnacentral:lncRNA from 1 species
AAAAAAAUCUUAAAUAAAUCCAAAAUAAAUCCUAAUCAACUUUAAUUUAAUCUUAAUCAAAAUCCUAAUAAACCUUAACCAAAUCCAAGGUCAAAUCCUAAUUAAAAUCCUAUUUGAAAUCUUAAUGAAUCUUAACUAAAUCCUAAAUCAAAUCCUAAUAAAAUCUUAAACAAAUCCUAAACCAUAACCAUAGAUCAAAUCCUAAUAAAAUCCAAAAUCAUAAACAAUUCCAAGAAAAUUCCAAGUAAAUUUCAAUCAAUUAUUGUAGCUAUUUGAAAUUUCAAUAAAUAUCAAUUGAAGUGUAGAUCUUAACUAAAAUUUUACUUAGACU